UGGCAAUAUUUAACUGCUCCUAGUAAUUGC
rnacentral:piRNA from 1 species